UGGAGUGGUAUCCAUAUCUGAAUUCAUAGGAUAUGAGAAGGCAGACCCGGGGAACUGAAACAUCUAAGUACCCGGAGGAAGAGAAAGCAAAUGCGAUUCCCUGAGUAGCGGCGAGCGAAACGGGAUUAGCCCAAACCAAGAGGCUUGCCUCUUGGGGUUGUAGGACACUCUGUACGGAGUUACAAAGGAACGAGGUAGAUGAAGAGGUCUGGAAAGGCCCGCCAUAGGAGGUAACAGCCCUGUAGUCAAAACUUCGUUCUCUCCUGAGUGGAUCCUGAGUACGGCGGAACACGUGAAAUUCCGUCGGAAUCCGGGAGGACCAUCUCCCAAGGCUAAAUACUCCCUAGUGACCGAUAGUGAACCAGUACCGUGA
rnacentral:rRNA from 1 species